AGACGGGGGCCCGCACAAGCGGUGAGCAUGUGGUUUAAUUCGAAGCAACGCGAAGAACCUUACCAGGUCUUGACAUCCCGAUGCUAUUUCUAGAGAUAGAAAGUUACUUCGGUACAUCGGUGACAGGUGGUGCAUGGUUGUCGUCAGCUCGUGUCGUGAGAUGUUGGGUUAAGUCCCGCAACGAGCGCAACCCCUAUUGUUAGUUGCCAUCAUUCAGUUGGGCACUCUAGCGAGACUGCCGGUAAUAAACCGGAGGAAGGUGGGAUGACGUCAAAUCAUCAUGCCCCUUAUGACCUGGGCUACACACGUGCUACAAUGGUUGGUACAACGAGUUGCGAGUCGGUGACGGCGAGCUAAUCUCUUAAAGCCAAUCUCAGUUCGGAUUGUAGGCUGCAACUCGCCUACAUGAAGUCGGAAUCGCUAGUAAUCGUGGAUCAGCAUGUCACGGUCGAAUACGUUCCCGGGCCUU
rnacentral:rRNA from 1 species